rnacentral:rRNA from 1 species
AUUGAACGCUGGCGGCAUGCUUUACACAUGCAAGUCGAACGGUAACAGGCCUUCGGGUGCUGACGAGUGGCGAACGGGUGAGUAAUGCAUCGGAACGUACCCAGAGGUGGGGGAUAACGCAGCGAAAGCUGUGCUAAUACCGCAUGUGAUCUGAGGAUGAAAGCGGGGGACCGAGCAGCAAUGUUUGGCCUCGCGCCUUUGGAGCGGCCGAUGUCGGAUUAGCUAGUUGGUGGGGUAAAGGCCUACCAAGGCGACGAUCCGUAGCUGGUCUGAGAGGACGACCAGCCACACUGGGACUGAGACACGGCGCAGACUCCUACGGGAGGCAGCAGUGGGGAAUUUUGGACAAUGGGCGCAAGCCUGAUCCAGCAAUGCCGCGUACGGGAAGAAGGCCUUCGGGUUGUAAGCCGCUUUUGGCAGGAACGAAACAGUGUCCGCUAAUACCGGGCGCUAAUGACGGUACCUGCAGAAUAAGCACCGGCUAACUACGUG